CAACGCUGGCGGCGUGCCUAACACAUGCAAGUCGAGCGAGAAAAGGGGAGCAAUCCUCUGAGUAAAGCGGCGCACGGGUGAGUAACACGUGGGUAAUCUGCCCUGGAGUGGGGAAUAACACCGGGAAACCGGUGCUAAUACCGCAUACGAUCACAAGGUUUGCGGAUUUUGUGAUGAAAGGAGCAAUUCGCUCUAGGAGGAGCCCGCGGCUGAUUAGCUAGUUGGUGAGGUAACGGCUCACCAAGGCAACGAUCAGUAUCCGGUCUGAGAGGACGGUCGGACACACUGGAACUGAGACACGGUCCAGACUCCUACGGGAGGCAGCAGUGGGGAAUUUUUGGCAAUGGGGGCAACCCUGACCAAGCAACGCCGCGUGGGUGAUGAAGUCUCUUGGGACGUAAAACCCUUUCGACGGGGACGAAAGCCGCAAGGUUUGACGGUACCCGUAGAAGAAGCCCCGGCUAACUCCGUGCCAGCAGCCGCGGUAAUACGGGGGGGGCAAGCGUUGUUCGGAAUUACUGGGCGUAAAGGGCGCGUAGGCGGUUCGCUAAGUCGGAUGUGAAAACUCUGGGCUCAACCCAGAGCCUGCAUCCGAAACUGGCGGGCUAGAGUUCUGGAGGGGGUAGCGGAAUUCCUGGUGUAGCGGUGAAAUGCGUAGAUAUCAGGAGGAACACCGGUGGCGAAGGCGGCUACCUGGACAGAAACUGACGCUGAGGCGCGAAAGCUAGGGGAGCAAACAGGAUUAGAUACCCUGGUAGUCCUAGCCCUAAACGAUGGAUACUUGGUGUGACGGGGAUUGAAUCCCGUCGUGCCGAAGCUAACGCAUUAAGUAUCCCGCCUGGGGAGUACGGUCGCAAGGCU
rnacentral:rRNA from 1 species